CACCACCCCAGGAACAGGUAGGAAAGGGGGCCAAGAAAUUCGUUGGUUUCUUUUCUGUCUUCAUAAGAUAACAGCAUCUGGGUGCACAAACUUACCUGCUUUUUUCUAUUUGCAGAACUUACGAGUACGGGGGUAAGAGAGAGAAAGGCCUGCGAAUAUAACCCCCAGUGAGUCAAGCUGCAUUUCGUACAGCACGAACGGAGCCAAUGGCGAGAAUUUUCUGUUACUACAUUUGUUAAAGUGCUUCCUAGACUUCGUUCUCCUUCCAGCUGGAGCAUCUUCUCACUCGGACAUCCCUUGGAACGACCUGUUUGUGAGCUGCCUCAAUGGAUCACUGAUGGAGGAAAACCACUUCCCAUUUUUUCUUUGUGCUUCUAAUACCUAGAAUAGUAUCUGGCACAUAGAAGGCGCUUAAUGUUUAGACUGAAUUGAAUUAUUGCCAUAUUACUGACUUGGGGCAUCAUUGCCAAAGCACUCCUCGCUUUGAGGAAAUUCUUACUAAUGUUCUAACUACCAGCUGGCAGAGAGCCAUUCAUUUCUCUAUUAUUCAGUUUGAAGACCUGGUAUGUGCACUGGAUGCUGGCUUUGCAGUGAUGAACAAAACCACAGGAACUUUGGCCCAUGAAACUUAGAGUCUAGUUUAUCUAAAAGGUAUUUAGUAAAAUUUAGUAGGUGAUAUAAUGAUAUAUGAUAAUUGCCUUCAAAUUAUAUAAAGAGCUGUCUCACAAGAGAGGCUAAACUGAAACGUAGAGGACAGAUCUGAGUUCCACGAAUGGCAGUUACCAGGACACAUUUCAACUUGGGUGAAAUAAGGGCAUUUUAGUACCAGGGUUGUUGAUCCCCGNCAACUCAGGAUCCAAGCUAUGUCUGCAGCCUACACCACAGCUCACAGCAAUGCUGGAUCCUUAACUCACUGAGCGAGGCCA
rnacentral:lncRNA from 1 species